rnacentral:rRNA from 1 species
CUGGUGGCGAGUGGCGAACGGGUGAGUAAUAUAUCGGAACGUACCCAAGAGUGGGGGAUAACGUAGCGAAAGUUACGCUAAUACCGCAACGAUCUAUGGAUGAAAGCAGGGGACCGCAAGGCCUUGUGCUCCUGGAGCGGCCGAUAUCUGAUUAGCUAGUUGGUGAGGUAAAGGCUCACCAAGGCGACGAUCAGUAGCUGGUCUGAGAGGACGACCAGCCACACUGGAACUGAGACACGGUCCAGACUCCUACGGGAGGCAGCAGUGGGGAAUUUUGGACAAUGGGCGCAAGCCUGAUCCAGCAAUGCCGCGUGAGUGAAGAAGGCCUUCGGGUUGUAAAGCUCUUUUGUCAGGGAAGAAACGGUAGGGGCUAAUAUCCCUUGCUAAUGACGGUACCUGAAGAAUAAGCACCGGCUAACUACGUGCCAGCAGCCGCGGUAAUACGUAGGGUGCAAGCGUUAAUCGGAAUUACUGGGCGUAAAGCGUGCGCAGGCGGUUUUGUAAGUCUGUCGUGAAAGCCCCGGGCUCAACCUGGGAAUUGCGAUGGAGACUGCAAGGCUUGAAUCUGGCAGAGGGGGGUAGAAUUCCACGUGUAGCAGUGAAAUGCGUAGAGAUGUGGAGGAACACCGAUGGCGAAGGCAGCCCCCUGGGUCAAGAUUGACGCUCAUGCACGAAAGCGUGGGGAGCAAACAGGAUUAGAUACCCUGGUAGUCCACGCCCUAAACGAUGUCUACUAGUUGUCGGGUUUUAAUUAACUUGGUAACGCAGCUAACGCGUGAAGUAGACCGCCUGGGGAGUACGGUCGCAAGAUUAAAACUCAAAGGAAUUGACGGGGACCCGCACAAGCGGUGGAUGAUGUGGAUUAAUUCGAUGCAACGCGAAGAACCUUACCUACCCUUGACAUGUCAGGAAGGCCGGAGAGAUCUGGCUGUGCCCGAAAGGGAACCUGAACACAGGUGCUGCAUGGCUGUCGUCAGCU